rnacentral:rRNA from 1 species
UACAGAGGUGGCAAGCGUUGUUCGGAAUUACUGGGCGUAAAGGGCGCGUAGGCGGCUCGACAAGUCCCGCGUGAAAGCCCCCGGCUCAACUGGGGAACUGCGCGGGAAACUGUCGGACUUGAGUUCGGGAGAGGGAAGCGGAAUUCCGGGUGUAGCGGCUGAAAUGCGUAGAUAUCCGGAGGAACACCGGUGGCGAAGGCGGCUUC